UUCCCAUCUAAAAUGUGCAUUCCCAGGAGCUGACUUCAGCUCCAAGUGUAUAUGACUACAUACAGAUUUUCAGACUUUGUGGAUAAUCUGAAGUUGAAUUAAAGUUGGGAGAAGCAGAGCCUGUGGAGAUGAGAUUUACCCUGCCUAGUGCUCUUCAGAAAGUGCGAACUUCAAGAGGUCACCAUUGUUCCAUCGGCAAGUAGCACUGAGUGCACAGUUGGCAUUCACAAAAACCCCUGAACGACUGAACUCCAGCAGGGUAAGAAGACUCCUAUAGUCUCUGUACCUCCCCUGUCUCCUGCAACACAGGACAGUGAUGCCUCAGGACUGCUGCUGGCUCCGCUACUGGAAAGUGAUGUGCUUGUGGAAAGCCCUGGCUUCGGGGCUAACCUCAGAGACGUCCCUCAAACAUUUCAUCUGCGCUGCUCCACUCUGACUGGCACUUUGGCUCUCACCUCAUUUCUUGCCUCUAUGAGCCCUCGUGACUGAGUAGCAUUUCCCACUAACUCCCAUGAGCCUAAAAAAUGUUCACCUGGCAAAUCUACCACCACCACCUCAGUGGUUGAACAUGUACACUGCAAUAUCCCCAGGCUAUAAAUAGAGUGGCCCAGAAAUGUGAAGUUCAUCGGUCUAGGUUCUGCUGCAAAUAAAGUG